GUUGAUGCGCGUUGCCUAAUUAUCUGUCGGGGCUUCGUGGCGCGUUCGCUGGUUUCUGAUUUCUGAUCCGCUGUCAGCUCUUCAGGGUUUAAGCUGGUGACAAUAUGAACGACCAAUUUUCACUUAAUACCAUUGACAGGCUGGUUUUUCAGUUUGCUCUCCAGACGAGGGAGCUUUCCCAAAAGAAGAAUGAAAUCAACCAACAGAUUAAAGUUUACAGAGUUGACGCUGCUGAGAGGAGGUCGUCCAUCGAAGCGAUCCACAGAAAUAUCCAAACACUUGAGGAGGAAAUCAGGGCGAAGCAGAUCACUGUGACACGUAACAAAGCAAAUGCUAAAAGCAUGAAGGCGAAUAACACCCUGCUGCUUCAGUACGAGCAGACGCUGAAAGCAGAGCUGGAGGGCAGAAAAGCAAGUUACAACCACGACCUUGUUGCAGGUCAGCCGCCCACAGCAGAACCAGAGAAACAACUUGAUACGGAGAUGGAGGAGGAGAGCAAUUCAUCAAUAGACAUCUCUUCUCUUCAUCUUGACCAGACAAAGAAUGGUAAUCCAACUUCUGUAGAGGCAAGGCAGGACAUUUGUGAGGAAAACAAGGUGCAGUAUUCUACCGUCUGCCGCCAGUCCUCUGCAGAGGAAGACAACGAGCCGUGGUCAUGCCAACCGUUGGGCGAGGAAAGAGAGCCAGAUGAGAUGCACAGCAACAAGCACGAUGGGGAGGAAUCUAGACAAGAGGACCACGUCUUGCAAUCCGGAGCGUCAGCCGCGCAACAGGCAGUCGAGGUCGAGGCGGAGGAAGUAGCCAUCGGUGAGGAGGAGGCACAGAGCGAAGAGGACAAUGAGGGACUCGCUGCUUUUCCGUCAUCUCAAGACAGAAAUCCCCAGUCGGCCCCGGUGGAAAUGACAGCCGUUCCUCCGUCCCCAACCUUCCCAUUUACCUUUAGCCCUGCCAGCCCACCACGUCAAGGCACCUCCGAUACCAAAUCUCCAGCUUUCCUGUUCUCCCUGAACUCUGAUCCCAGCACGCUGGCCUUCUCUGGGUUCGGAUUUGACCGCGGCUCUUCUCAGGAGGAGGAGUCUCCUUUCGCUUUUACCUGCCCCCUUUUCAACGAGAAGAAAAACUCAGAACCGAAGUCUUCAACCUGCCCGGAGUUCCUGUUUGGACAACCAGAGCAAAGUGAAGCCUUCAAGUUUCCCUUUCCAUCCCAAAACCCUCGGACAACCGACAAAGAGGACACCAGGGAGGAUUUCCCAUUUUCAUUCAACUUUUGAGGAAU
ensembl:lncRNA